rnacentral:rRNA from 1 species
AACGAACGCUGGCGGCAGGCUUAACACAUGCAAGUCGAACGCGUGUAGCAAUACACGAGUGGCGCACGGGUGAGUAACACGUGGAUAUCUGCCUUUUGGUUCGGAAUAACUCCGGGAAACUGGAGCUAAUACCGGAUGGUUCCUACGGGAUAAAGAUUUAUCGCCAAAAGAUGAGUCCGCGCACGAUUAGCUAGUUGGUGAGGGAAUGGCUCACCAAGGCGACGAUCGUUAGCUGGUCUGGGAGGACGAUCAGCCACACUGGGACUGAGACACGGCCCAGACUCCUACGGGAGGCAGCAGUGGGGAAUAUUGGGCAAUGGGGACAACCUUGAUCCAGCCAUGCCGCGUGAGUGAUGAAGGCCUUCGGGUUGUAAAGCUCUUUUGGCGGGGACGAUGAUGACGGUACCCGCAGAAUAAGCCCCGGCUAACUUCGUGCCAGCCGCCGCAGUAAAAC